GGCGGCACGCCUAACACAUGCAAGUCGAACGAAGUAGCAAUACUUAGUGGCAGACGGGUGAGUAACAUGUGGGUAUCUACCCUUUGGCCUGGAAUAACACGAGGAAACUUGUGCUAAUACCGGAUAAGUCUUUACGGAGAAAGCUUUAUGCACCAUUGGAUGAGCCCGCACUUGAUUAGUUUGUUGGUAGGGUAAUGGCCUACCAAGACUAUGAUCAAUAGCUGAUUUGAGAGGAUGAUCAGCCACAUUGGGACUGAGACACGGCCCAAACUCCUACGGGAGGCAGCAGUGGGGAAUCUUGCACAAUGGAGGAAACUCUGAUGCAGCGAUGCCGCGUGAGUGAAGAAGGCCCUUGGGUUGUAAAGCUCUUUCGUCGGGGAAGAAAAUGACUGUACCCGAAUAAGAAGGUCCGGCUAACUUCGUGCCAGCAGCCGCGGUAAUACGAAGGGACCUAGCGUAGUUCGGAAUUACUGGGCUUAAAGAGUUCGUAGGUGGUUGAAAAAGUUGGUGGUGAAAUCCCAGAGCUUAACUCUGGAACUGCCAUCAAAACUUUUCAGCUAGAGUAUGAUAGAGG
rnacentral:rRNA from 1 species